CGCACCCUACGGGAGGCAGCAGUCGGGAAUAUUGCGCAAUGGAGGAAACUCUGACGCAGUGACGCCGCGUAUAGGAAGAAGGUCUUCGGAUUGUAAACUAUUGUCGUUAGGGAAGAAAGAGGACAGUACCUAAGGAGGAAGCUCCGGCUAACUACGUGCCAGCAGCCGCGGUAAUACGUAGGGAGCGAGCGUUAUCCGGAUUUAUUGGGUGUAAAGGGUGCGUAGACGGGAAUUUAAGUUAGUUGUGAAAUCACUCGGCUCAACUGAGGAACUGCAACUAAAACUGGAUUUCUUGAGUGCUGGAG
rnacentral:rRNA from 1 species